CUUAUUAUGAUGAUAUAAUUUGCGAUCUAGGGUAAAUUCGCCUGGGACAUGCCUAGUUCCAUUUAGGGCAGUUUACGAUAUGCGAACACUUCAUAUUCUGAAAUUAAG
rnacentral:snoRNA from 1 species